GGUGCCAACUUUAGCUGCGGUGGCCCACCACCCCCUCGCCAACCUUUUCGAAAGCAACCCCCCGUUUUCCCGAAUAGUCUAUCUCUUCCUUUUGUUCGAUUUUUUAAUUACGAUUUCUCGAAAGAAUUCCGAGGACGACCGCCUUGCUCAAUUAUAGCUCUUUUGCCUUUGAGAUGGGACAGACGACUCCCCGUUUCUCGAGGAAAGUGGUCCUGUGCCGAAUUUUUGAAGGAUGACUUGCUCCUCCUCCAUUCCGAAUUCCCAAGCAUGUCGAGAGGACAACGAGAUGGACAGUGGACAGGCCAUUUUCGUUUACCUACUCGCCGUUUUGCUUCUUCAAGUCUGUUUGUAGCUUUGUGAGAAACUUGAGGGGAGAGUUCUUUGGUCACAAGCGAAAGGAGCCCGUUGUGUGCCCCUUCUUGUGCUUGCUUGAAGAGUCGAGAGAUGUUGGCAUAUGCUUGUAAGUGCGACAAAAAUGGAAGAGGAGAAAGUGGGGUUGCAAA